AAUGGGAGAAGAGCAAUUUUCUAAAACUUAAUAUUCAAUACUGGCCGAUAGAAAACCUAACGCUAACAUACGUCCAAAACUCUUCUCUUCUCUGCGAAGGAAACUACACGGCGGUGAGCAGAGUAGUAAGAUGAAUAGCAGCUCCGUUCCUAUGCAAAUAUUCAUAAACAUCGAGUAUGGAAUGAAGUCAUUCCCCCUGAUGGUUAAGAGUUCGGACACGAUACUCAGCGUUCAAGAGAAGAUUCAUGACAAUGAAAAGAUCCCUGUGCAUGAUCAAGAACUUUACUUUUCUAAUGCGCCACUAGAUUACCACCGGACCCUUGCCAGUUACAACAUACAAGACAAGUCAACUAUUGACCUCGUUGUCCGUAUCAUGGCGGAUUAGAUCACCACCUCAUCGUGCUGCCAUCGGCGACCCUAUAAAUGAAAUCAAACAUUUUAACAGUACUUUUGUUCUGUCUUGAGCUGUAUAAUAUAAUGAUUUCUAUUACUUUGGAUAAUGUUCAAUACUAUAAUUAAGCAAACAUAUUUACUUUUCAACACUA